UUUUAGUCCUGGAAUCAGGACGAACGCUGGCGGCGUGCCUAAUACAUGCAAGUCGAACGAGAUCCCGGAGCUUGCUCCGGGGGACAGUGGCGAACGGGUGAGUAACACGUGAGAAACCUGCCCUAGAGACCGGGACAACCAUUGGAAACGAUGGCUAAUACCGGAUGCCUUCACAUGGUCGCAUGAUCGAGUGAAGAAAUGCUCUGGCGCUCUAGGAGGGUCUCGCGGCCUAUCAGCUAGUUGGUGAGGUAACGGCUCACCAAGGCAUCGACGGGUAGCUGGUCUGAGAGGACGAUCAGCCACACUGGGACUGAGACACGGCCCAGACUCCUACGGGAGGCAGCAGUAGGGAAUCUUGCGCAAUGGGGGAAACCCUGACGCAGCAACGCCGCGUGUGGGAUGACGGCUUUCGGGUUGUAAACCACUUUCAGUGAUGACGAAAAUGACGGUAAUCACAGAAGAAGGUCCGGCCAACUACGUGCCAGCAGCCGCGGUA
rnacentral:rRNA from 1 species